rnacentral:lncRNA from 1 species
CAAGAAGUGUGUGUGUAUGUGUGCGUGUGUGUAUGUAUGCAUGUGUGUGUGCGUGUGUGUAUGUGUGCAUGUGUGUGCAUGUGUGCGUGUGUGUAUGUGUGUGCAUGUGUGCGUGUGUGCAUGUGUGCGUGUGUGUAUGUGUGCGUGUGUGUGUGUGUGCGUGUGUGUAUGUGUGCGUGUGUGUAUGUGUGCGUGUGUGUAUGUGUGCGUGUGUGUAUGUGUGUGCGUGUA